AUUGAACGCUGGCGGCAUGCUUUACACAUGCAAGUCGAACGGCAGCGCGGGCUUCGGCCUGGCGGCGAGUGGCGAACGGGUGAGUAAUACAUCGGAACGUGCCCAGUAGUGGGGGAUAGCUCGGCGAAAGCCGGAUUAAUACCGCAUACGACCUGAGGGUGAAAGCGGGGGAUCUUCGGACCUCGCGCUAUUGGAGCGGCCGAUGGCAGAUUAGCUAGUUGGUGGGGUAAAGGCCUACCAAGGCGACGAUCUGUAGCUGGUCUGAGAGGACGACCAGCCACACUGGGACUGAGACGGGGCCCAGACUACUACGGGAGGCAGCAGUGGGGAAUUUUGGACGAUGGGCGAAAGCCUGAUCCAGCAAUGCCGCGUGAGUGAUGAGGGCCUUCGGGUUGUAAAGCACUUUUGGCGGGAACGAAAAGGACUGUGCCAAUACCACGGUUCGAUGACGGUACCCGAAGAAUAAGCACCGGCUAACUACGUG
rnacentral:rRNA from 1 species